rnacentral:misc_RNA from 1 species
AUCAGUUUCCUUUUAUCCAAUAAAUUAAAAAAUAAAUAGUAUAGAUAUGUAUUAUUUCCAUUACUUUGAUCUUCACAAAAUCAAACUUCCUUAUAAAUAUAAACAAAAAAAUGAUAUACAAGAGUCAAAAUUAUUGCAACUAUAACUUGUUGGCCAAGGGAAAUAGUCUUUCCCAUUUCUGAUUUGGUAGGGGUGGUGCUGCUGCUGCUUUUGGUGAAGCUUGGAGGAGAAUAGAGAAAAGCCAUUGAAAUGGCGUCCUCUUCCUCACCUUUGAAGAUUGGCCUUCCCAACACAUGCUUGUAUUGCCCACCACUCAGAGUCUGUGUUUGAUCUCCAACAGUGACGACUAUUGCAUCUUUAUCCGGGGAGAAAGACACCCAUCCUUUUUUGGAGUAAACAUGAAACUCUGAAGACCCAUCACAUAUGUGCAAGCACAAGGCAUGAGAAUAAUCAAUUCCCCUUAUCAGCAUUCUGAUCACAUCAUAUCCUAAGGAGUUAGCUCUAUGAUCAUGUUUAUGCUUGUAAAGAUAACAUACUGAUCCAACAAGAUCUAGCCCCUGCAUAAUAUCUUCCCCAUACGUUGUCUUUUUCUGAGAAUUUUCUCUGAGAACUUGUAGAAUUUUCUCCGCUACAUUUUCCAUAUCAGAUACAAGAGUUUCCAUUUUCUCACUGAAAUUUGAAUAUCCAGCUGCGUGUAUUUCCUCCAUAUCUACCUUCAACUUCUCAUCUCUACACCACACGAACUCUUCACUCAACUCGCUUUCCUCCUCUCCAUGCACUUCCUCGAACCCAUAUGGCUUUUCCAGGGACCUUGUCACAGCCACCCUUUUCUCUGGCGGCACCCUAAAUAUUCCGGCUGCCAUGGCCAGCACCAAUCUUGUAAAAUCACUUGGAAUUCCAUAAUUAACUAGUUGAAAGCAUCCAAUCCUUUCAAGGGAAUCCAAAAUCCUGGAAAUUGAAUCACUGUCUGCAGAAUGUAAUGAUUGGAAAUCGAUUCUGGGGGGUGUUUCAACAAUCUUUUGCCUAGGGAAGAUCUUAUCUGGCAAAACUAAAUCCGGCACACGCAGUGAGUGCUCAAGAAAUUCAGUAAGCACAUCAUCAUUGGCCACGGAUGAUCUCCGGCCAGAGGCAAUCGGAGAUGGAGGCGGGGCACGGAAAUCAAUGGGAUUUUCAGGCAUGGUAUGAGGUGAUGAAAAUGCCAUGAAUAUGAUACUAUUUAAAACUGAACUCAGGCACGGUAAACAAUUCUUUUUUGCUUGCUGUAGAGAGAUAUUAGAGUGUUUUAAAG